rnacentral:rRNA from 1 species
GACGAACGCUGGCGGCGUGCCUAAUACAUGCAAGUCGAGCGGAAGCUGAAGAGCUUGCUCUUCAACUUUAGCGGCGGACGGGUGAGUAACACGUGGGCAACCUGCCCUGCAGAUCGGGAUAACUCCGGGAAACCCGUGCUAAUACCGAAUAGUUUUCGCCACCUCCUGGUGGCGUACGGAAAGACGGUUUCGGCUGGCACUGCAGGCUGGGCCCGCGGCGCAUUAGCUAGUUGGGGGGGUAACGGCCCACCAAGGCGACGAUGCGUAGCCGACCUGAGAGGGUGAUCGGCCACACUGGGACUGAGACACGGCCCAGACUCCUACGGGAGGCAGCAGUAGGGAAUCUUCCGCAAUGGACGAAAGUCUGACGGAGCAACGCCGCGUGAGUGACGAAGGUUUUCGGAUCGUAAAACUCUGUUGUGAGGGAAGAACAAGUACCAACUAACUACUGGUACCUUGACGGUACCUCACCUGAAAGCCACGGCUAACUACGUGCCAGCCGCCGCGGUAACAC